ACACAUGCAAGUCGAGGGGCAUCAGGAAGAAAGCUUGCUUUCUUUGCUGGCGACCGGCGCACGGGUGAGUAACACGUAUCCAACCUGCCCUUUACUCGGGGAUAGCCUUUCGAAAGAAAGAUUAAUACCCGAUAGCAUAAUGAUUCCGCAUGGUUUCAUUAUUAAAGGAUUCCGGUAAAGGAUGGGGAUGCGUUCCAUUAGGUUGUUGGUGAGGUAACGGCCCACCAAGCCUUCGAUGGAUAGGGGUUCUGAGAGGAAGGUCCCCCACAUUGGAACUGAGACACGGUCCAAACUCCUACGGGAGGCAGCAGUGAGGAAUAUUGGUCAAUGGGCGCUAGCCUGAACCAGCCAAGUAGCGUGAAGGAUGAAGGCUCUAUGGGUCGUAAACUUCUUUUAUAUAAGAAUAAAGUGCAGUAUGUAUACUGUUUUGUAUGUAUUAUAUGAAUAAGGAUCGGCUAACUCCGUGCCAGCAGCCGCGGUAAUACGGAGGAUCCGAGCGUUAUCCGGAUUUAUUGGGAUUAAAGGGAGCGUAGGUGGACUGGUAAGUCAGUUGUGAAAGUUUGCGGCUCAACCGUAAAAUUGCAGUUGAUACUGUCAGUCUUGAGUACAGUAGAGGUGGGCGGAAUUCGUGGUGUAGCGGUGAAAUGCUUAGAUAUCACGAAGAACUCCGAUUGCGAAGGCAGCUCACUGGACUGCAACUGACACUGAUGCUCGAAAGUGUGGGUAUCAAACAGGAUUAGAUACCCUGGUAGUCCACACAGUAAACGAUGAAUACUCGCUGUUUGCGAUAUACAGUAAGCGGCCAAGCGAAAGCAUUAAGUAUUCCACCUGGGGAGUACGCCGGCAACGGUGAAACUCAAAGGAAUUGACGGGGGCCCGCACAAGCGGAGGAACAUGUGGUUUAAUUCGAUGAUACGCGAGGAACCUUACCCGGGCUUAAAUUGCAGUGGAAUGAUGUGGAAACAUGUCAGUGAGCAAUCACCGCUGUGAAGGUGCUGCAUGGUUGUCGUCAGCUCGUGCCGUGAGGUGUCGGCUUAAGUGCCAUAACGAGCGCAACCCUUAUCUUUAGUUACUAACAGGUUAUGCUGAGGACUCUAGAGAGACUGCCGUCGUAAGAUGUGAGGAAGGUGGGGAUGACGUCAAAUCAGCACGGCCCUUACGUCCGGGGCUACACACGUGUUACAAUGGGGGGUACAGAAGGCAGCUAGCGGGUGACCGUAUGCUAAUCCCAAAAUCCUCUCUCAGUUCGGAUCGAAGUCUGCAACCCGACUUCGUGAAGCUGGAUUCGCUAGUAAUCGCGCAUCAGCCACGGCGCGGUGAAUACGUUCCCGGGCCUUGUACACACCGCCCGUCAAGCCAUGGGAGCCGGGGGUACCUGAAGUACGUAACCGCAAGGAUCGUCCUAGGGUAAAACUGGUGACUGGGGCUAAGUCA
rnacentral:rRNA from 1 species